CCUGCCUGGCAAUGGGGGUCACCUGCCCUGGCAAUGGCAAGGGUUGCACCAACCCUGCCCUACCUUGCACCAUUUGGACAUGAGGAGUUCACUGAUCCAAGGAGGCCAUUGCUCCAGCUGCUCUUUUCUUCCCCAGGAAGGAAAACCCCAUCCCGGGCUUUGCAGAAAGCAGCUUGAGCAGACGGCACUGAGGGUCCAGCUGGCACAACAGGAGCAGGAUGUGGCAGUCCUCCUCUCCCGUGCAUGGAUAAAGGAGGAGCAGCUCCUGG